rnacentral:rRNA from 1 species
AUGGAGAUGGAGCAAGCAAUUUAUCUGGUCUUGGCUCUCCUCCUGCCUCUCAUGCUCCGCAAGCUCAUCAGGAAGAACAGCCACGGCACUGGGCAGCAGCUGCCGCCUGGCCCGUGGCGGCUGCCUGUCAUCGGCAGCCUGCACCACCUCGCUGGCAAGGCGCUGGUCCACCGCGCCUUCGCGGACAUCGCGCGCCGGCUGGGUGACGCGCCGCUGGUGUACCUGAAGCUGGGCGAGAUGCCCGUGGUGGUGGCUUCGUCCGCCGAGGCCGCGCGCGAGGUCAUGAAGACGCUGGACCUCACGUUCGCGACGCGGCCAUGGAGCCCGACUAUCAAGAUCCUCAUGUCUGACGGGGCCGGGCUAGCGUUCGCGCCCUAUGGCGCACACUGGCGCCAGCUCCGCAAGAUCUGCAUCAUGGAGCUGCUAAGCGCCCGCCGGGUAAAAACGUUUCGGCACGUCCGGGAGGAGGAGGUGAGGCGCCUCGUCGCCGCCAUCACAGCGGGUGUGGGCGAGCCCGUCAACGUUAGCAAGCGGCUUGCCGCGCUCAUCGCAGACAUGACCGUGCGCGCCAUGAUCGGGGACAGGUUCAGCAGGCGGGAAGAGUUCCUCGUGGUGCUCCAGCAGGGGGUCAGGAUCCUCUCCGGGUUUAACCUCGGCGACCUCUUCCCCUCAUCCCGGCUCGUUGGCUUCGUCAGCGGCUCCGCCCCACGGGCAUGGGAGAAUCACACCAAGAGCUUCGAGCUCAUCGAGUGCGCCAUCAAGCAACACCAGGAGGUGAAGGCCGCCGCCGCAGCGUCCAACGGCGACGGCAAGGAGGAGGAGCAGGAGGACCUAUUGGACGUGCUCCUGAGGAUACAGAAGGAAGGCGGCCACGACGUGCCUUUUACCAUGGGAGCCAUCAAAUGUCUAUUAGUGGACUUGUUUAGUGCUGGGAGCGAGACGUCAGCAACGACGCUCAUCUGGGCCCUAUCAGAGCUGAUGAGGAACCCAAGGGCCAUGUCAAAAGCACAAGCCGAAGUACGUGACAGCCUACAAGGAAAGCCAAGUGUGACCGAGGAUGACCUGGCCGAUCUCAAGUACAUGAGGCUGAUCAUCAAGGAGACGUUGAGGCUGCACCCUCCCGGGCCACUGCUGUUGCCACGCGAGCCCACGGAGGCGUGCAAGGUCCUCGGGUAUGAUGUGCCGAUGGGCACCACCGUGUUCGUGAACGUGUGGGCGAUCUGCAGAGACCCCAAGCACUGGGACGCCACAGAGGAGUUCAGGCCGGAGCGGUUCGAGUCUGCCGAAGUAGACUUCAAAGGAACCAACUUUGAGUACACACCGUUCGGGGCAGGCAGGAGGAUCUGUCCCGGGAUGAUGUUCGCGCAUUCUAGCAUGGAACUCACCCUUGCCACCCUUCUCUACCACUUCGACUGGGAGCUUCCUGCCGAAGGGGAGUUGGAUAUGGAAGAGGAGAUGGGCAUCACCGUCGGCCGGAAGAACGACCUGUACCUACAAGGCAAAGUCCUCAUGCCGCUUAAU